rnacentral:ncRNA from 1 species
UAGCCGGUGAAAGUCCGGUCGCGGGAGGGGCCAAGCCCCCGCGUAGCUAGGAUGCCUGCGCACGGCGAAAUCUGUGUGUAGAAGCGCAUCGACAGAAGUACGGUUGUAAGACCGUGCGAGCAACCGACCAGGCCGCAACAUGA